rnacentral:rRNA from 1 species
GAUUACAAACAAAGCACAGACCAUAGCAGCUUCUUUCUAAUAACUUCAAAGCAAAUGAAGUAGGUAUUAUUGUCAUGCUUGGUUAGUACUCUGAUGAGACUGCCUGAGAAUACCAGGUACUGUAGGCU